AGCACAGGCUGGGGUGGGAGAUUCGGAAGAGGCUGACGGAAGAGGACCCAGAGGUGACUGGGAAGCAGGUGCUAUGAGCCAGAACCUUCCCCGACCUUCACCAAGGUGGGUAACCAGGACCUGAGAAAAUCAGGAGAGUGAGACACCUCUGAUCCAUGAGGCUCCCAGGCUGUCAGAAGGCAAAGAAUUCCAGAGUGGUAUCGCAAAAACCGGGGUGCAUGUCCAACAUUUACAUUUUAAAAUUCAACCUAUUUUAGAGUUGGACUACUCACCAGAUAAUUGCUGGAUUUAUAAAAACAUUUCAGACACACAGUGACAUCAGGGUUUGUGGGUGGCCCUGUCGAGGCUCGCAGUCCUGCCUAGUUGAGCACCACCCGUCUGGAGGGAGCCUUGGAAGUCUUCACAGGAGGCCUUUGUGCAAGUGCAGCCUGGGUGGAGGGGUCCUCCAGGGGCCUGGGCAGUCCAUCUCCAGCAGGUGCAGGGCCUGGGUUCCUCCUUACACAAGCUCUUGUAGGCUGUUCCCCAUGCCUCCAUCCCCCCAAUUAUAGACCAGGAACUGAGGCUUGGACAGUGACUAAAGGUGACAAGGCUCCAGGGGGAGCUAAUACCAAAGGGCUCCAAAUACCAGAGCCCACCUCUCCCAACUGGCACAGGAGUCAGGAGGCAGCUCUGAGGAGGUGGCAGGGAAAUAAAACCCACAUUCCGAGUAGCCAUUUUCCCACCACAUGUGUUCUGUGCUGCUGGCCCUCCUAGCAUGGGCUGCUCGCCCCAUCCCCACCCCUUCAGCUGCACCAGGCAGGGGCACCUGUAUGCAAAUCUCACGCAGGGCCCAGGGAGAGGGAGGUUGAGUGGACCAGAUAUGAGCAGGGCGCUGAAGAGGAGGGCAACGAUAGAGAAUGUCAGGAAAGUGGUCACGGUGACCAUGAGCUGAGCCCCAGCAGGCACCGGCUUACAGGCAUCACAGCAGGUUGCCACUGCGUUUCCAGAGGACUGCUUCUACCUGCUUUGGGGCUCAGAAAGGGUAAAGGGCUUUUCUGUGGUCCAUCGAAUUGGCCACAACGGAGCCAUGACACUGGUACCCUGUCCUGCGUCAGCCAAGGUGGACUUGCUGGAAGCUCGAAAACCCUGCCGAUGUCCCACAGCAUCAUACAGAGCGCAUGCAGCACCGGAGCCUGGAACAGACUUGCAUGUGCACACACAGGGGUGCAGGAGGUGGGGCCAGCAGAUAUGCAGAUUCCUGAGACUACACAAAACCCUGGGAUCAGAUUCAAGGUGGCUGAGAUUCAGCUGGACAUCCAAGGUGCACAGAAGGACCCCUCACACCUGACUCUGAGGGGCACCCAGAAACAUGGGGCAUUGCCUGCCACCAGCUUCUCAAUCAAAGAAGACUCCCAACACACAUGAGGCUCCAAAUCAACAGGCAGGCUGCAAACUCCCACCACACCGUAGCUUCCCUUUGUGCGACCAAACCUUCAAACCUUCGUCACCGAUGUUUGCAAAAAGCUGCUUUCUCCCAGUGCCACGGAGAAGGCGAACGGCAAACCAGCAGAGGAGACGUAUCCGUGACUGGUGCUGUAGGUUGCAAUUGCCACCUCUACCUUCAACUUCAUCCUGGAAGGAUGAUGGGUGGGAAGCUCCUGGCAGCCAACAAGCAUCC
rnacentral:lncRNA from 1 species